rnacentral:lncRNA from 1 species
AACUGAACACGGAACAAAUAUAUACAUAAUCAAAUUAUAUUUAUACCCAAAAUAAAAUGGGGUUAGAUAUUAAGAUAAUGAAGCAAUUCUACCAAUAUGUCCUAGUGGGCCUUGUCGAUAUUCAUGCAUACUCAAUGUACAAUUAAUGGAAAAUUCAAAAGUGUAUCUUUUGAUUAUUGAACACGGAAAUAGAUCACAUUGACAUUAUAUAACUAUCAAAUCGAGAUUAUGUUACUAUCAAUUUAAAUAGGGAAAGAGAAUAAUCACAAGGAAAAUCUUUAUGCUAUUGUAUGCUUAUGGUUGGAGAAAAAUCAUAAAAAAUAAAUUCUCUCAAGCCACGUUAAGUGUUCUACGUAUUUCUUAUCUCUCUCCUACUUAUUUUAGAUAUUAUAUAUGUGUUCAUAUAAAAGCUCAUAUGAGAGUGAUAGAAGUCAAUCAAAAGACUUUAUAACUAUUAGAGUUUAAUUAAAUUUACAAUAAUCAUAUGGAUUUAUAUAAAAAAAAGUUUUUAAAUUAUUAUUUUUAUGUUGGGUCGGUCCAACCAAUCAUGGACGCCAAUUUCAACCGGCCUUAUUUCGAUCCCUUGUGUUUUCAAGCACUCUGUCAAACUUCCAAGUUAGAAAGAAGUCGCGAAGAGGUGGAAGGUAGAGUCCAAAGAAGAGAACAUUGAUGAAGCGACACUAGGACAUUUAGACAUGGUUAAUUAAUCCUUUGUUAAAACAUUAUAAGCAGUAAAAUCGAUCGACAAUAGCCCUUUAAUAUUUAAAAAGCAACUUCACAUUUUGAUGUCGGAGUUAAUCAACAGGCUUGCAUCAGGGCCGGCCUUAAAGUCAAAGGGGCCUUAGGUGAAAUUUUUUUAUGAGGCCUUUAUUUAUUUUACAAUUUUAAUACUCAAAGAUAUAUAAAAAGGAUCAAAAUUUAUUUCAUCUUUUAUUCUUGAAUUUCAACAAUAAUUAAAAAAAGAUAAAAAAUUUUAAAAAUAGAACCUAAAAAAUAGUCAAGAAGAUAUAUUUUUGUAUUCCAUUAAAACCGUUAAAAACAAACAAACAAAUAAAUAAAGACAAUAUUAUUUUCAAAUAGAAUAUUUAGAAUGAUAGAAUAUAAAAAUUUGAAAUGAUAAAUUGAUGUUCAAAAAUAAAAACAGACUUUAUAUUUUAAGAAACUAAUUAUUUUAAAUGAACCAAUGAAUAUAAUAAUUUUCUUUGUAGAGAAAAAAACAAGAAAUUUUUUUCAUUUACUAAUUCUUGAGAUUAUAAGGAUUUUAAUAAAAAUUAAAAGAAAUACUAAAAGUCAAGAUUCUAACAUUGAAUAAUUAAAAAGGUAAAUAUUUUUUUGGAAAUAUUAAUAAUGCAUGAACUAAUGGUUAAAUCAUAUUAUUAAUUAUAUUUCUUUAAAAUUAAGGUUCCCAAAUAUAUAUUUUUUUUAUCAAAAAUAUUUCUUAAUUGUAGGAUAAUUAAGAAUAGAUAGAUAUUUAAUAAACUUUUUGAUUUCUUAAAAUACAUAUUAAAAGUUUUUAUUAAUUAGAGAAUUAUUAAAGAAAUACUAAAAAUAUGAGGCCUUAUUAAAAUAUGAGGCCUUAGGCAACUGCCUUGUUCGCCUAUACCUAUAGCCACCCCUGCCUGUCAUAUCAAUCAAUAAAUAAAGCUACAAUCAAAACUUGCUUGCUAGCUAAGUGGCUGAACUUAAAUUGUUACAAUGGAGCUAGGACUUGUGAAUUCAAGAUAGAGAGUAAUGAUAUAGUGGGCAAUGAUGCUCAUUUGAUGGUAAGCGACAUGUCAUGUGGUGCUGUCUAACUAAUUUAUAGUUUUAAUAUUAUUCACAGGUAGUCAUAGAAUUCUACCACAUAUUCAUAUGUUUGUUCACCAUGAGCAUUAAUAUUCACUAGAUCAUCUUAUUCAAACACAAGAUCCCUCAAGUCAAAUAGACUUUAAUAAUAUUUUUAAAAUUUUGUUUUAAAGAAAAAAGAAAAAAGUAGAGGAAUGAAUAAAUUUUAAUCAAUUUUUUAACCCCUACCUUUUUGGAUUUCGAACUCAGCUAAUCAAUCAAAUAAAACUACUCCAAUAAUUUUUUAAGAUUUGUUGCAAUUGUUGUUUUUUCAUUUGCAUAGCUUGUUAAUUUUUUGUUGGGGUGCUAGGAUUAGUAUGUUAAUGUAUCCAAUUUAAAAAAUUAAACCUAUUGAGUAGAGGGACCUAUUUUAUAAUCCUAAAUAACUCAUUUUGAUUAGUUAAAUAUGUGACACAAAUCAUAAAAUUCUUCUCUAUAUGAAAUUGACCAACUAUUAUAUCUAGAAAUUAUAUCCAAAUACUAACAUGNNNNNNNNNNNNNNNNNNNNNNNNNNNNNNNNNNNNNNNNNNNNNNNNNNNNNNNNNNNNNNNNNNNNNNNNNNNNNNNNNNNNNNNNNNNNNNNNNNNNNNNNNNNNNNNNNNNNNNNNNNNNNNNNNNNNNNNNNNNNNNNNNNNNNNNNNNNNNNNNNNNNNNNNNNNNNNNNNNNNNNNNNNNNNNNNNNNNNNNNNNNNNNNNNNNNNNNNNNNNNNNNNNNNNNNNNNNNNNNNNNNNNNNNNNNNNNNNNNNNNNNNNNNNNNNNNNNNNNNNNNNNNNNNNNNNNNNNNNNNNNNNNNNNNNNNNNNNNNNNNNNNNNNNNNNNNNNNNNNNNNNNNNNNNNNNNNNNNNNNNNNNNNNNNNNNNNNNNNNNNNNNNNNNNNNNNNNNNNNNNNNNNNNNNNNNNNNNNNNNNNNNNNNNNNNNNNNNNNNNNNNNNNNNNNNNNNNNNNNNNNNNNNNNNNNNNNNNNNNNNNNNNNNNNNNNNNNNNNNNNNNNNNNNNNNNNNNNNNNNNNNNNNNNNNNNNNNNNNNNNNNNNNNNNNNNNNNNNNNNNNNNNNNNNNNNCUAGAUGAAAUGACUAACUAAUAUAUCAAGAUAUUAUAUCCAAAGACUAACAUGAUGAGUAGAGGGACCUAUCCUAUUUGUAAACUCAAGUGACUCCCUUUAACUAGCAACUGUAUGACAUAAGCUAACAUUUCGAUACCUAUAUCUUUGCUGGAUCAUCUCCAUAAACGAAAUUAUGAAAGGAUACUUAGUUUCAAGUUCUUGUUCAUCAAAUAAAAUUAUUAUAAAUUAUAUAACGUCCAAACUAAAUUCUAUAUUUAGCCAUUGAUUGCCCAUUAUCUUAAAUUAUGUUAAGGAGAAAUUAGGAGCAAGAGAGAAACUGAUCCAUUAAUUAAAUUUAAGGUUAAAGCUUCAAUUCUUUUAGCACCAACUGCUUAAUAUGGUUUAGCAUGUAAUUCACUAUCAAUUUAUUAUUUUACUUUAUGUAAAUUUUGAGUUAUUCCUUAAUAAAUUGAUUAUUUUUAAAGUAUUUUCAUCAUUUUUGAAAACCGUAAAUCACCAUCAUUUAUUGUAAAAGAUAACCAAAAAAAAAGGAGUAGAUUGAUGGAAAUUUUUUGUCUUUCUAACAAAAAUAAGAGAUAAAUUAAAAAUAUUAAAAAUAAAAAAAUAAUUUAAAAAUAAUAAAUUCAUGGUUAUCCAAAAUUAAUUCUUUCACUUUUUCCCUAUUUCACGAGAACUCCGAACUCAAAGUCAAUUGCGUUUGUCUUAUUCGGAAUAGAGUCUCGUAAAGUCACACUCUCAAAAUUUCUAAAGUCAACAGAAUUUUUUUACAAUAAAUGACAUUGUUGGUUUUUUUUUAAAAAAGAAAAAAGAAAAAAAGAAAUCUUUGCUGUAGGGUAUUGACUAUUAAUGUUGACAUACAAAUUAAUGGAUAUUCAAUUAGGAGGAGCUUGCUAUGUUACAGCUUCUGCAAUUAACAUAGCCAAUGGGAAUCUUCCACGGGUGUUAGUGCUGAUGCAACCUAGGCAAGGGAGCUGUUGAUGCAAGGUCAAAAUGCCAAGGCUGUUAGUUGCAACUUCUGCAACUUAGCCGUGUCCUUCAGUUAGAAUACUCUAUAUAAAAUUUGCUAAAAUGAGAAAAGGGAAAUGAACAAAAAUUCUCCUAAUAAUUAUCUGGCAUCAUCAAGAAAGAAUCAAAAAAAGUCUAAACCUUCAUGACAAAGCAUGUUAAGACAAAUUAACGAAUAUUCAAUUGGAAUACUGUAUACAAAAUUUACUAAAAUAAGAAAAGGGAAAUAGACAAAAAUUCUCCUAAUAAUUAUCCGAUAUUAUCAAGAAAGAAUAAAAAAAGUCAAAACCCUAAUGAACAAGCAUGUUAAUUUGUACGAAUAGGAAAUAUAGACCCUCAAGGUCUGAUUUAGGAAAAUUAUUAUGUAAACCUCUAAACUUUUAAUGAGGGAUACCAAGAGGCAAGAGCUCCUUUUAACUAUAAUAUUCUUUGGCUCUAUUAACUAAAAAGAUAACUCCAAUAUUUUGGCUAUGUUAACUCAAAAAACUUGACUCUAAUAUUAUAUAAUAAAUAGAAAUAUAAUAUUAAAAUAAAUGUAACAAUAUAUAUGUUUUAAAAUAAUUUCAAUAUUUAAAAAAUAUUUUAAUACUUUACAAUCUUAAUUGUAUUAAAUUAAAUUUUAUAAAAAAUAAAUGCCUCAUAUUAAAAUAAAUGUAUAAAAAAUUAAAUUAUAUUCAAUAUUUAUAUAAAUUUUUUAAAUAUUACUAAUACGUGAGAUAUAUUUUAUUAAUUGUAAAAUCUAUUUAACCCAAAGCUUUAUUAAAAUUUUUUACAAUACAUAAAAAUAUAUUGUUAAAAUAAAUAUAAUAAUUUACAUUUUAAAAAUUAUUUAUAUAUUAAAAAUAUUCUAAUAUUCUAAUAUUUAAAUAAUUUAAAUUAUAUUUGUAUUUAUUAAAAAAAUUUAAAGUUAAUUUUUUUAGUUACUAUCUACAAAGGGUAUUUAGUCAAAAGAGAGUCUUGAUAUUCCUUAUUGAAAACCUGAGGUCUGCAUAACUAUUUUGCCAAAUAUUAUGGGCGUAGGUGUCAUUUUCCCUAUGUAAAUAUUGUAUUAUACUAAAGAAUAAUGAUAGGAGAUCAAAUUUUAUAUAGCACAACUCCAAUGAACCUUCCAAUAAACAUAUGUUAUGCAUUUUAAAUGAUUUUUUUUUCACUAUUAUGAUUGCUAAACUCUAAAAAGAUAAAGAAAUUAAUGAUCAGAAUUGGAAUAAGUUAAAUUAUUACAAACUAGUAAAAAAUGCUUAAUUAACUAUUGUCAUAAUUAUUGUUUUGUAUUUUAAUUAUUGUUAUUAUUAUUAUUAAAAAAUUAUUAUUAAUAAUAAUUACUAUUAAUAAUAAUAAUAUUUUUAACAUUAAUAUGUUAAUUAAUUACAAUACUUUUAUCAUUAACAUACUAAUAAAAAUAAUAAAAAAUUUUAAUGUUUUUACUUUGUCUUAAAAUCAGAAUGGAUUAUUGCAAUUUACUAAAAUUAUCUUAUUUGAUUAUUAUCCUUAUUUAUUAUAAUAGUUGUGAUUGUGAUUAUUACUAUUCAAAAUAAUUAUUGUUAAUUAUAAUAAAAUUAAUAAUUUUCAUAAUAUAAAGAAUGACAUUAAUGAUGACAACAACAAUAGUAGCAGUAGUAAUAAUAAUAAAUUUAUUUUAAUAAUAAUAAUCUUAUUAUUAAUAAUAAUGACAGUAAUGACAAUAAUUGUAAUAAUUAAAAAAUAAAAUUAAUAAAUUUCACUAAUAAUAUUAUUAAUAUAAUAAUAAUAACAUUAAUGAAUAACAAUGAUGAUGAUGAUAAUACUUAUAUUUAUAAUUAUAUUAUUAUUAUGUUACUAACAAUAAAUAUUGAAGAACUUAUUUGUAAAGAUUACAAAACUUCUAUAGGGACCUAAAUGUAAAAUGACAAAACUUAAUUUACUGUAAUUUCAAAAUUGUGAAAAUUUAAUGGGGGUAAAAUGGGAAGUUUAAGGAAUAGGAACUUGAUUUUCCACCCCCAUAGAAAUCAAGUUCCUAUUCCUUAAUGUCAAAAACAUGUGGGCCUCAUACGUUUAACGGCCUAUUCCUUUUUCUAUUUUAACGGCCUCAUACGUUUCGUUCCUAUUCCCUUUUCUAUUUUAACAAGUAAACACCAUUAAUUAUUCUCAUUUCGGAUUUUGAUUUCCAAGUCCUAUAAGUAAACACACCCUAAAACUUAUUUUUGAACUCUAUGUAAUGUUGUUUCCUUUUGAAUUGAUAUCUUCAUAAGAAAGGUACCUCAAAAUCAACUUGUUAUCAGCAUUCAAAUCUGGAAAUUAAUCUUUAUAUUUUUACCUAAUCAAUGUAGGUAAAUGAAAUAUAAUCUAGACACGGAUCUAGAAUAGUUCACUAAAAUUCAAAUUCUGAUCAUCCUGCCAGCUAGUCUAGGGUUUAUUUUCAUUUGUUUUAAGUCAUUUUUUGCCUAGUCCACUAGACAUUAAAUUUUGGGGUCUUGCUAAGUUACAUCAUAUGUAACUUACAUAAACACAUAAGUAGUUUUUCUGUAUGGCUCAACUACUAUCAGCAAACAACUAAGGGGUCAUGAGAAACUACUUAGAGAUUGGUGUAAAUUACAUAUAUUGUAACUUAGCUAUUGCCGAAACUUUGUUGAAUUUUGAAGGAACAAUGAAAUAGACAUGGUCCUUUGAAUCAAUUUAUUAGAUCGAGGAGCUCUUUGGGGUCGACUUGAAGAGCUCAAUGGUGCUCGCGAACCAUGAUGCUUAAGUUAGAGUUCUAAGUUUUCUUCAACAAAUAAAUAAAUAUUAUGGUUUGAAGAAAUAAUUAGAAAGAAGGGAAUUGUAGAAAAAUGAAGAAUAUAAACAAUGGAAAUAAAAUGAGAAUUGAAUUUCUAGGUUGGAAUUCAAAAUUUUAAUAAAACUUUGUAAUAGAGUUCAUAAUUUUUUUUUUGGACCUUUUUUUGUCCAAAGUUAAGGUAGAGGUAGAUAAAGUUCAAACUAUUUUUUCACCCUACUUUUCUUAAGAAUUGAACUUGAGUGUACAAUUAAAGAAAAUUAGUUGAAAACAACUCAACAUGCCCUGAGGGACUAGUGAAUUGUCUUAUAGCUUCUUUUAUAGUAUAUUUCUUUAUAAAAAAAAAUUAAUUUUUGGUCUAGAAUUCAAUAUGAAUAUCAAAAUAUUUGAAAAAAAUUUAUGUCUACUUGUUCUUCAUAAUUUUACAGGAGUUAAAAGUUUUGUAUAGUAUUUUUUUUUAAAAAAAGAAUCAAUAAUGAUAUAACCACGAAUAAAUGGACAUGCUGAGUUGUAGCUUAUGAGUCAUGAAGAAAUUAGUUAGAUGAAAGCAUCAUAAGGCCCAAACAUAAGAUCGAAAUUCUCUCCUAAUAUCUUUUAUUUGAACAAAUAUACUUACAUAAUUGGUAGUUAAUGAAUGAGAAUAUAAUAAUUAAGUAAAUAUUUAUUAUACAUAAAUAAAAGAGCAUAUGUAUCAAAAGAUUUUUCAAAGUAUAUAUAUGAUCAGAUCUUUUAUCCUCAAACGUAAUAGUAUAACGCGACACCUUGAUGAUAUAAGCAGUUGAAAUUACAAAAAAAAUUGUAAUAGUUGGAAGUAGGGGCGGAGCAAGCAAGUUUAUUAGAGAGGGGCAACUCCAAAUAACAGAAUAUUAAAAAAAAUAUAUAUUUUUUCAUGGAAUGUGGUCCAUGUGGAGCAUACUUCACAUAAUUCACAUACAAAUAUAAGUAGUUAAAUACAAUUCUUGUAGAUACAUUAAGCUUAUCGUUAAAAGAAUUUUUCAAAUGAUGAAACUUAUUUGAUAAAUUUUAAGUAGUUUGUUUCUCUGAAGGUGGUACAGCUAAAUAUUUAAAAAUGAAAAAUGAGUGUACUAUGGAGGCCGCUUAACUAACUUUUGAUUGGAGGUAUCUACAAAGAAAAAUAGGAAUUCUUGGAGGCCUCCGCCCUUAGCCCGAUGAUGCGAAUAACUCCUCAAUGCAUGAGACAAUAUGGUGUCAAAUUAACCAAAACUCAUCCCCGUGUUUGAAUUUCUAAAUAUUAGCUUGAGUAAAGGAAAGAAAAACCCUGCUGGGUUUUUGUUGGCUUCAGCUGUGAUGGCUACUGAUGGUUCAACAAGCAGAAGCGCUUCUCCUAGAAGCAGCAGUGAGGGUGCAUUUCCAAGGUCUCCAAGAGAAGAAGAAGAAGAUGAUGAGAAGGAGGCUCUAAAGUGGGCUGCUCAUGAGAAAUUGCCAAGCCUUGGACUGCAAGAAAGGCAGAGGUUGAUUGAUAAAUUGGUUAAAGUCACUGAUGUUGAUAAUGAGAAGUUCAUGUUGAAGCUCAGAUACCGCUUUGAUAGGUUAUUUUCUUUUAUUUCAAGUUUUUCAAGGUAGCCAAAACAGAGGAGCUCUGUUCUUGUUUUUUGAAGUUGCGAGUGUUGUGUUUUAAGUUAUGAUUUUCAUUUUUUUCUUGUAUUAUUUCCAGAGUUGGAAUUGAACUUCCAAAAGUCGAAGUUCGAUAUGAGCAUUUGAAUAUUGAAGCAGAAGCGUUUUUAGCAAGUAAAGCCUUGCCAACAUUCACUAACUUCUUUACCAACAUCAUUGAGGUAGGAAGCUGCAAUUUAGUGAAAUCUUUUUUGUCUGUGUUCAUUUUUCUGACUAGAGUUGACAACCUGCAUAUUUUUGAAGGCUUUCUUUAACUCUAUCCAUAUUCUGACAACUAAAAAGAAACACUUGACAAUCCUGAAGGAUGUCAGUGGAAUCAUAAAGCCAGGCAGGUGAGAAUUGAUUUCCUAUUAUUUCUUAAGUUACUUGUAUUUUCUUGAAUAUAUGGGAACUAAGCUCAAUGAUGCAGAAUGACAUUGCUUUUGGGCCCUCCAAGUUCUGGAAAGACCACACUUCUAUUGGCUUUAGCCGGACAGCUUGAUUCUAGUCUGAAGGUGAUUACGUAGUAAAAAUCUCUUAUUUUUUUCCGAGAGGUUUGCUUUCAGCACCGGUAGUUCACUCUUUGGUGUUGUCUCCUUUUAGGUUUCUGGCAGGGUGACAUAUAAUGGUCACGACAUGAAUGAAUUUGUGCCUCAGAGAACAGCUGCUUAUAUCAGUCAACAUGAUGUCCAUAUCGGAGAAAUGACUGUGAGGGAAACUUUGGCCUUCUCUGCUAGAUGCCAGGGUGUUGGAUCCCGUUAUGGUAGGUUUUUUAUUAUUAUUAUUUUUCUCUUUUAUUUUGCCUUCAACUAUAAAAAUCAUUGCUAUUGGGAAAUGCAGACAUGUUAACAGAGUUGGCCAGAAGAGAGAAGGAAGCAGGUAUAAAGCCGGAUCUUUUUGUUGAUGUCUUCAUGAAGGUGAGAAAACUGAAGUUUGUUUAACUUACUCUGUGAUAUGAAUUAUUUAAUUACUAUAAGUAUUUAUUUAAUGCCAUAAUCUCUUUUCAAAUUUAUUAUUGUUGUUCGGUGGAUUUUUGAAUAGGAGUUUUGAAUAUUAAAUAAGUUAUUUUAUCUAUACUAUCAUAAGCUUAAAUUUUAGGGUUCUGAGAGUAGAAGUUUAAAAGUUUUUUUUAAAAUGUUAAAAUGUCUAAAAAAUCUUUUACUUAUUUGACAAUCUUAUUUCAUUCAUUUACUAACAUAAUUUUAAAAAAUUUGCCUAUUAAAUAAGUUCUCAUUAACAACCAUACAACUAAUUUGUUUUUAAUAAAAUUUCUAAUAGUAAAAGUUCUACUGAAAAAAAUUAUGCUUAAAUAAGCUCUAUCUCAAAAGCUUCAUCAGAUGGAGGCUAAGACGUGUUUAGUGUUUAGCGAAUCAAAAACAUAUCUUCGAUCAUGUCUUCCUAUGGUUUAAAAUUUAAUCCUAGUAUAUCAACUUUGAUUUUCAACUUUCAUCCUGUCAUACUCUUGAAUAGCCCAUUUUACUUUUCGCUCAUUAGAAGGGAAUAAAUAAGUUGAAUUCAUGGUUACUGAGUUUCUUGUAAUUCUCGGUCAUUCUCAUGUCUCAGGCAGCAGCAACUGAAGGCCAAGAAGCUAAUGUGCUCACAGAUUAUUAUCUAAAGGUUCUAGGACUUGACGUCUGUGCUGAUACCUUGGAAGGCGAUGAAAUGGUGAGAGGUAUAUCAGGAGGACAAAAGAAGCGUCUGACAACAGGUAAAUGCCAACUUGAUAAUAAACUCAUUUCCAUUGCGCUCACAGAUAAUUAGAAAUCAAUAUUUGUUAUCUAAACAUAUAAAUUAAAAGUUCAAUUCUCAAUUGUAGGUGAAAUGAUGGUCGGCCCAGCUUUGGCACUCUUUAUGGAUGAGAUAUCUAAUGGUUUGGACAGCUCGACAACUUUCCACAUUGUGAAUUCUCUCAGGCAAAAUAUUCACAUCCUUAACGGAACCGCAGUGAUAUCUCUCCUACAGCCAGCACCAGAGACUUAUGAUCUAUUUGAUGAUAUUAUCCUUCUAUCUGAUGGUCAGAUCGUGUACCAGGGACCCUGCGAACUGGUGCUAGAUUUCUUUGAAUCUAUGGGCUUUAAAUGCCAUGAAAGGAAGGGCGUGGCUGACUUCUUGCAAGAAGUAAGUCCGUUAAUAGAUAAAAUAGAUUCUUAUGAGCUGAUUGAGCAUCAGAUGUAACUUCUCCUAUUCAAUCUUCACAAAUAAUAUGUUGCAGGUGACAUCAAGGAAAGAUCAACGGCAGUAUUGGGUUCAUAGAGAGAUGCCUUACAGAUUUAUUACAGUCCAGGAAUUUUCUGAGGCAUUCCAAUCAUUCCAUGUGGGACAGAAACUCACAGAUGAGCUGCGAACUCCGCUUGAUAAGAGCACGAGCCACCCAGCUGCUUUGACUACCAAAGGGUACGGUGUGGGUAUGAAGGAGUUAUUUAAAGCUAACAUCUCAAGAGAAUUUUUGCUGAUAAAAAGAAACUCAUUUGUCUAUAUCUUCAAGCUCAUUCAAGUGAGUACUAGAUUAGUUUUGAACUGUUUUACUUUUUUCUUGAAAUGAUAAUGAUUUCAUUGAUUUGUUCCCUUGCCUACUAGCUUUCCACUAUGGCAUUGGUAUCUUCGACACUCUUUUUCAGAGCAAAUAUGAACAAAGAUUCAGUCAGUGAUGGGGGAAUUUACAUUGGUGCCAUGUUCUUUGCUGUUAUUAUGACCACGUUCAAUGGAAUGUCGGAUAUUUCUAUGACCGUUGCUAAGCUUCCUAUCUUCUACAAGCAAAGAGGUCUCCGAUUCUAUCCAGCGUGGGCAUAUGCCCUUCCUGCAUGGAUCCUCAAGAUUCCUAUCUCGUUCCUGGAGGUUUCUAUUUGGGUGUUCCUUACCUAUUAUGCAAUCGGGUUUGAUCCUAACAUUGGAAGGUGAAUGCACAAUUAACCAUAGAAAAUUUUAUUACAUGAUCUGUUUAUCCAACUAGCUUAUAAGGUAAUUUUCUUGCUGCAGGUUGUUUAAGCAGUUAUUGCUGCUCUUGUUCGUUAACCAGAUGGCUUCUGCAUUGUUUCGAUUCAUUGCAGCAGCAGGCAGGAACAUGAUUGUUGCUAUGUCAUUUGGUUCAUUUGCACUGGUCGUGUUUUUUGCAUUUGGUGGAUUUGUCCUUUCACAAGGUAUAUCAUAUAUAUAUAUAUAUAUAUAUAUAACUAAAAGAGGCUGGUUAGCUUCUUUAUCAAAAUUUAACUAUCAUACUUCCAUUUCUUUUUUAAUGACACAGAUGACAUCAAUAAUGGUUGGAUAUGGGGUUACUGGUGUUCGCCUAUGAUGUAUGCACAGAAUGCAAUUGUGGCUAAUGAGCUUUUUGGGCACAGUUGGAGAAAGGUAAUUCUCUGAAUGAGCCUUUUCCUUGAUUUUGUAAUAUUCUUUUAACAAAAAUGCUAAUGUCUGUAUAUUUCUUUUUUUUUUUUCAUAUCACAGUUUACUACUAACUCAACUGAAUCACUUGGAGUGCAAGUUUUAAAGUCUUGUGGGUUCUUCCCACAUGCAUUUUGGUAUUGGAUAGGAUUGGGGGCUAUGAUUGGUUUUGUACUAUUGUUCAACAUUGGUUUCACUCUAUCUCUUACUUUUCUUAACCGUGGGUACCUUUGCCUUCUUCACUUUAAUUCUUUCUUCUAAAGCAGAGAGACUAGUUUGUAAUUUCUUGCGAAUAUAUAUAUAUAUUUGCAGAAUUUGAGAAGCCUCAGGCUGUUAUAUUAGAGGAAUCUGAAAGUAAUGAUCUGGAUAACAGAAUAGGAGGAACUGUACAGUUAUCAACUUAUGGAAGUAAUUCAAGUCACAGCACAAACUCAGGUGUUGUCAGGGAAACCCAACCAAAGAAAAGAGGCAUGGUGCUUCCAUUUGAACCGUAUUCCCUCACCUUUGAUGAAGUUACUUACUCUGCUGACAUGCCAAAGGUAACAUCAAUUAUAAAGCCAAUUAUGUUAUUUCAAAAGCAUGGACAUUGUCUUGAUUUAAUACACUCUGGUCCGGAUAUGACAACCAAUUGGUUCAAUUUAACAUUCUAGGAAAUGAAACUUAAAGGUGUUCAUGAUGACAAAUUGGUGCUUCUAAAUGGUGUGAGCAGCGCUUUCAGGCCGGGUGUUCUUACAGCUUUAAUGGGUGUCAGUGGUGCUGGUAAAACCACUUUGAUGGAUGUGUUGGCUGGCAGGAAAACUGGUGGAUAUAUUACUGGGAACAUAACAAUCUCUGGUUACCCAAACAAGCAAGAAACAUUUACCCGCAUUUCAGGAUACUGUGAGCAAAACGACAUCCACUCUCCUUUGGUUACUGUGUAUGAGUCCUUGCUCUACUCAGCCUGGCUUCGUUUACCGACUGAAGUUGAUUCUGAAGCCAGAAAGGUAGGUACUGAACUCUCCUGGAGUGUUACCUCAUUGAGAGCUAGAACAGUUUAACCAAGUCAACUAGAAGAGAAAUAACUUGACUCCCUGAACACAUUCUAGGGUAUAUUCAUACUAAUUUAUACUUCCUCUCAUAAUUUACAGAUGUUUAUUGAGGAAAUCAUGGAGCUUGUGGAGUUGAAACCACUGAGACAAUCACUGGUUGGUUUGCGCGGUGAAAGUGGUCUGUCAACAGAGCAGCGUAAGAGGCUCACCAUUGCAGUUGAGCUUGUGGCUAACCCGUCCAUCAUAUUUAUGGAUGAGCCAACCUCAGGGCUGGAUGCAAGGGCUGCUGCUAUUGUUAUGAGAACUGUUAAAAACACGGUUGAAACUGGAAGGACAGUCGUGUGUACCAUCCAUCAACCAAGCAUUGACAUAUUUGAAGCCUUUGAUGAGGUAGAAAUUAGUAAUAUUUGAUCAAAGGAGUCAAAAGUUUUUCCUUCUCCUUUCUUUUCCAGCAUUUGUUGACUAUUAUUGUUUAACAAAUGCAUUGCAGCUAUUCCUAAUGAAGCGAGGGGGACAAGAAAUUUACGUUGGGCCAUUGGGUAGCAAUUCUAGCGAUCUUAUCAGCUAUUUGCAAGUAUGACCUGAUGAACAUUCUCGUAUUUCAACAGAAAUCUAACUUGAAAUAGCAUUAUAAAUUGACUUGCAUGCUUUACAUUAUGAACGUAGCUGAUGCCGAUGCAUGUAACGUUUAUUUUUAUGAAGGCCAUUCCUGGAGUCGAAAAAAUUAAAGAUGGUUACAAUCCAGCAACUUGGAUGUUGGAAGUUACAUCUACAACAAAAGAAUUAGCUCUGGGGAUUGAUUUUACUAAUAUUUACAAACAUUCAGACUUGUACAGGUGUGUUUUUGUUGUACUACUAAGUUACCAUGCCGAUGCAUAUGCUAAUUAGCUCGUAACUGAUGCUGAUGUAUGCCAUAUGUUUCAGAAGAAACAAAGCACUCAUUGAAGAAUUAAGCAAGCCUGCCCCGGAUUCACAGGACAUUUAUUUUCCAACUUGGUACUUUCGUUCAUUUUUCAUGCAAUUUUUGGCUUGCUUGUGGAAACAACACUGGUCAUACUGGCGAAAUCCACCAUACAAUGCUGUCAGGUUUCUUUUUACGACCGCCAUAGCUUUGACAUUUGGAACAAUGUUCUGGGAUAUGGGCACCAAAACGUGAGUUACAACUAGGAAGCUGUAAAUCUAUGUACUUGAUAAUGUACAUGAAACUUAUUUUGAGCCUUGUAUUUUAACCUUAAUUUUGGCAUUUUAAUUUGCAGGAAACAGAACCAAGAUCUGUUCAAUGCUAUGGGUUCCAUGUAUACCGCUGUUUUCUUCAUCGGCGCUCAACUUUGUUCAUCAGUGCAGCCAGUAGUCGCUGUUGAAAGGACAGUCUACUAUAGGGAAAAAGGGGCUGGAAUGUAUUCAGGCAUGUCAUAUGCAUUUGCGCAAGUAAUGUUUUUUUUUUUUUUUGACACAUUACACGUAUUUGUUUUAAUUCUCCAAAGGAAAUGUAUUUUCUUUACUGAUAUUUUAUUUUUCUUUUUGUUUUUUUUCCAGGUUAUGAUUGAGAUACCUUAUGUUCUUGUUCUUUCAGUAGUGUAUGGUGUCAUAGUCUAUGCCAUGAUUGGAUUUGAAUGGACAGCAGCCAAGUUCUUUUGGUAUUUAUUCUUUAUGUUCUUCAGCUUAUUGUACUUCACCUUUUAUGGCAUGAUGACAGUGGCUAUGACACCAAACCACAACGUUGCUGCAAUUGUUUCGAUUUUAUUCUUUGGUUUGUGGAACGUCUUUUCGGGAUUUGUAAUACCGAGACCUGUAAGUAUUGUUUUCCCAUUUCUAUUUUAGAUACUGGAUAGAUUUCACAGCUUUAGUGAAACCUUAAUGUAGCUAAUUCUUUCCUUAUCUUUCAACUUGCCAAACAACAGAGGAUUCCUCUGUGGUGGAGAUGGUACUAUUGGACAAACCCUGUAGCUUGGACCAUGUAUGGAUUGGUUGCUUCGCAGUUUGGAGAUGUAGAGGACAAAAUGGAAAGUGGUGAAACAGUGAAACAGUUUGUUAGAAGUUAUUUUGAUUUCAAACAUGAGUUUCUGGGAGUAGUUGCAGUUGUUGUUGCUGCCUUUGCCAUGCUCUUUGGAAUUCUCUUCGCAGUAGGAAUUAAGAGGCUUAAUUUCCAGAAUCGAUAGAAAUUUAAUUCCAUUUUCUACAUCAAGUCUGCUUAGUGGAAAAUUUACUCAAAUCAAACAUUCGAAGACACAAAAGGGGAAUGGAGUCGUGGGUUAAUCUCGGAAUGCAAUUUCCUGAGUUAACCUAUUAUAGAAAUCUCCACUCCAGGUUAUGCUAUCAUCAUCUUGUAAAUCUGGGCAUUUUACAUGUACAAGCAAUCACCAAUCUUGGGGUGAAUAAAGUGUAAGAAAACUUAAAUAUGCAGGAAUAGCACAGCAUGGCCACAAAAAUUCUGAAAAUUUUACAAAACACCCUAACAAUAAUCUACUCACGAAUCUGCCUCAACAAUUUUAUUUUUUAAAAUAAUGUACGUUUAGUCUUCUCUCUUUACUCUCGUCUUCUUAGAUUGUAGUUCUUAUGUUCACCUUUCUUGAAUUGAGGUGAUGGAUAUCAAUUUUCUAAUCAACGAAUUUAAGAUUUGAUUGAGGGGUAAAAGCUCAUUUAGUCCCUAUAUUUUAAGAUUAGUAUCCAUUUAAUCCCUAUAUUUUUUAAAAUACCUUAAAACAUCUCUGCCGUUAAAGUAUUGAUACCCCUACCGUUACUUUUUAUUUCUUUUAGUUUACUUUUACAAUAUUACCCUUUUAUAAUAAUUUUUUUGUUUGGAUAUUAAUAAAAAAAAAUAAUUAAAUUACCAAUUUAACCUUAAAAAAUAAAAAAAAAUAUAUUAAUUUUUAAUGGUAAAAAAUUGUAUGCAAGCUACCAAGUGUGCAGAUGGUCCUUGCAAAAAAAUUAAUAUAAUUUUUUUAAUUUUAUAGAGUUAAAUUGGUAAUUUAAUUUUUUUAUUAAUGUCCAAAAAAAUUAUUUUAAAAGUGUAAUAUUGUAAAAGUAAACCAAAAGAAAUAAAAAGUAACGGUAUGAGUAUCAAUACGUUAACAGCAAGGAUGUUUCGAGACAUUUUUUAAAAUAUAGGAACUAAAUAGGCUUUUACCCUUUGAUUGAGCUCACCCAAAAAAAAAAAAAAGAAGAAAGAAAAAGUACAUAGUUAUUUUUUGUGUUAAGUAUGUGUGAAAUUAGCUUACGUCAAUGGGCUCACUUUGCUAUUGCUUCCUACUAACUAGAUCUAGAAGUUAAACUACAGAAAUAAAGUAUUUGAUGAAUUUUUUAUGUAGAACCUAAUAGUAUUAUGAUUUUAUGUUUGAUAAAACUAAUAAAAUAAACUUUGUUACUCUUAUCAUUUAAAUAAGUUGUUAUCGAUUCUUAUUUAUAGCUAGAACUUUUAGUUCAAUAACAAAUAGAGUUUUAGUGUGAAAAAGUUAGAAAAUUUAGAGACAUAACAAAAGGGUUUGUAAUUUGUAAAUAAAAAUCUAGGGAGUGUAUAUGAAAAAUCCAAUUGCUAGUGGGUGUCCCAAGUACUAACAAAAACAAAGAACAAGUGCAUGCAGGCCGUAGAGCUACAUGCCAAGACCGAGAGCGUAAGAAAUACACCAAAGGUGGAUAAUAUUUAAAACGCAUACAUGCGUCACUUGCUGCCCCGCCCAAAUAAAUUAAAAUCUUACAUAGUUACGUAUAACUAAUCCUCUCGCAAUAAUAUAUAUAUAUAUAUAUAUAUAAUAUAAUUUAUAUAAUAAAGAAAAUGUCAGAUUAAAAAUUAACUAAUAAGAACUGCAUAACGAAUUGUUCCUGAUCAUAUAGAAAUGAGACUUCACAGUUCACAAGUUCAGGGAUCUGAUAAUAAAAAAUAUAAAAAUGAGACCAGACAAUCUUCCCAAAGGGGUACCUUUAUUUGAAAGAUACAAUUACGAAUUACGCUUGCAAACGUAUUUAAGCGAGAUUAAAUAUAUAACGAUUGAGGAGACAUAUGCAGUCAAAAUAAAAUAAUUCAAAGUAAUAUAAACUUCUCUCUAAUAGUACAAAAAGCUUCCAAACCCUUAAACUUGGUAAAACACUCUUUAGUACAAAAAUGUGAGAGUAUCGAAAAUGGCUAAUGGGUAAUAAGACUUUUGAAUGGGCGAGGGUCGUUAUUUAUUUGUUCUAUAGAUUGAAAGAACUCUUUUUUUCUUUUUUUUUAAUACUGUCUACACUCAAUUAUUUAAUAAUUGAAGGAGGAUUGAAACUAACCUUGUAAUAUUUUUAUAGAAAUUCGAACCCUUACUCUCAACAUUGUAAAUGCAAAAGCUCUCUCAUUGAGCCAAAUGCCUAUUGGUUAGAUUGACAGAACUCUAGCUAGAAGUGAGAUGCUAUAUAUUGAACCAAAAUNNNNNNNNNNNNNNNNNNNNNNNNNNNNNNNNNNNNNNNNNNNNNNNNNNNNNNNNNNNNNNNNNNNNNNNNNNNNNNNNNNNNNNNNNNNNNNNNNNNNUAAAUCUAAUGUAGGAACAUGAUGGUGACACAAAUUUUUCCAUAAAACUCUUACAAAAUUAGAGGACAAUCACCUACAAACAAGCACUAAUGACAAAACUCUAUAUAUAUAUAUAUAUAUAUAAAAUCCUAAUAAAGUAGACAGGAAUAAAAUUCUCAAGGAAAAAAGAGAUAGACAAUCAUUUUAUUAUUAUAAUGAAGAUGAGAUUGAUAAUUUUCCUCCUCUCCCACAAAGAAUCGAAGGUAGGGGUGGUUUAAGUAUAACGAACAAGGCAGUCGCCUAAAAUCCCAUAUUUUUUUAAGACCUCAUUUUUUUGAGUAUUUUCUUAAUAUUUUUCUAAUUAUUUUUUUUUCAAAUUAUGAAUUGUAGAAAAACCAAUUAGACAUCUUUAUAAUUAACAACUAUACUACAAUUAAGAUUUUUUUUUAUAGAAAAUCAAUAUUUGAUAAAAUUAAUGUUAAAGAGAUAUAAUUAAUAAUAUUGUUUAACCAUUAAUUCAUUCAUAACAGUCUUUCCAAGAAAAUAAUUCAAUUCUUUACCUUUUCAGUUUCCUAAAGAAAACUCAAUUAUUUAACAUUGAAAUCUUUAACUUUCAAUAUUCCUUUUAAUUUCUAUUAAAACCUUAUAAUAUAAAAAAUCAGUAGAUAAAAAGUUUCUUACUCCUUUCUUUAAAAAGAAAAUUAUUAUAUUCAUUGGUUGAUUUAAAAAAGAAAAAAUUAAUUUCUUAAAAUACAAAAUCUAUAUCUAUUAUUUGAUAAUCAAUUCAUCAUCUCAACUUUCUAUUUGCUGCCAUUCCAAAUAUUCUAUUUGAAAAUAAUAUAUCUUAUUUAUUUGUUAUUUAUUUUUUUAAUAAUUCUAAGGAAGUAAAAAAAAUAUCUUCUUGACUAUUGUUAAGUUUUGUUUUUGAAAAUUUUUAAAAUAUUUUUAUUAUUGUUAAAAUUCAAGAAUUAAACAUAGAAUGAAAUUUUGAGUCCUUUUAUGUUUCUUUGAGUAUCAAAAUUGCAAGAUAAAAUGGGCCCCACAAUAAAAAAAAAUCGCAUAAGUCCCUAAAUACUUUAGUGCCAGCCUUGAACGAAGGGGAGAAGAUUGUUUAAACAGUUAAGAUUUGUUUGAGAUAAAAAGUGAGAGCGACAUUCAGAAUAAUUUAUGAACUUCAUUGUAACAAAAAAAAAAAAAUCGAAUUUCAGUUGGUUUACAAAUUUAAUCAAAAGUUAAUUAGACAAAACAAUAGGUAAAGUUAAAGAGUUUAAAAGUAAAGCAGGUAAAUACUUAUCUAGUCAGUAUAUUUUAACUUAAGUGGCUGUUUAAUUUUGAUAUUUUGAAGAAUACCUGAAGAUACACUUACUAUAAAAUAUGUUAAUCUUAUCCUUAUUUUUCUUUGCUGUUACAAUAAGAUCAUGCAAUGAUGUUUUUCAAAUUAAUUUUUUAAUCUAUAAAAAAAGUUAAUUAGCAAAUUAACCAAUAAGUACUUACUAGCAAAUAAAUAUCUAUGAUACAACUAGUAUUUUUCAUAUCCUUGGAACAGUCUUACUAAUGUUAUUUAUAAAUAAAUUAACACUUGCCAAUUUAAAGUAAUGUUUAAUAUCCUUGCAAGAACAUUACUAAUAAUUUUUUUACAAAAAUUUAAUUUACCAAAUUAAUUCUAAAAGUAAAAUAAUAACAACUAAUUUUUUAUUUAACUUUUUAGGCUAAUUGGAUUAAUUUACAUUUUUUUCUUUUCAUUAAUAUCUCCAAAAAUACUCUUGCUAGAGUAUUAUUGUAAAAGUAAAGAAAAAGUAAGGGUAUAAUUGUAAUAUAAUUACAAGCCUGGAUGUCUUGAGAUAUUUUUUUGUUAUGGCAAACAUGUUUACUUCACUUUCUUGAAUAAGAAUUAAGCAACCCACUAAGCCAGAGUUUACAGAAACAAGAUUAAGAAAUGAACAAACAAAGUAACAAGCAAUCAAAGAUACUCAACACACCAAGAAUCUAACGUGGUUCAGCUCCACAAAGGAACCUACAUCCACGGCUGUAAAACCAGCAAGGGCAGAAGCUUUAUUGAACAACAAGAAGAACGUUUACAAAUGAGUCACCGAUUACAGAUUAAAGCCUAUCGAAUCUUUUCUCUCUGUAAAUCCUCUCUGUUUUCUAGCUUAGAGACAGCUUAUAUAAGUAAGCUUCUCACGUGUGUUUUCACUUGCAAUAAGUCAGUCUGUUAUUUAACUAACUAACCAACUCUUGACUUGAAUCCCACUUAUGCCAGCUCAUAUGACACCUCAGCAUGUUCAUAACAGAUUAUAACUAAUCUUGGCUUCACAUUUUUAAAAUGUAGGGGCUAAAUAAGCACUUAACUCAACAAAUAGGCACUAAACAAGCAUUUACCCAAAUAAAUUAAAGCACACUAGAGGAUCUUUUACGUGGUUCAAGCUACGUAGCUGCACGCUCAGGCGUCAAGUAAUUGACUAAGUUCAAGAGAUUAUAAACUCUUGGAACCUUACAUAAUAUGAGUCUCCCCCUCGAUAAUUGCCGCCACCUUGUUAUAAUCUCACCAAGUGAACACUUUGCAAGCACCACACAUCUUCUACAUCCUCUCCCAAGCAGGUUUUCAAAUAAAGCGGUAUGCCACCUCUCUGUAGAAUUUCUAUACUACGAGCAUAUGAUCCAUUUUCUUGGGAAGAUCGAAGAUAGUGUCCUCAAAUCAUUUAAAGAUCCCAAGUUUUGUUGCCUCUGUAAUCCCUUUAUUGCUCCAAUAACUUUCACUCUUGUAAAGGUUGGAUCAAUAAAUCACCAAAUAAACUACCAAAGACAUCGUUAAAGAUAAGAUCUAAAUGCAAACAAUAGUCUUUUCUCAAACUAAAGUCUAACAAAAAGAUUAUUAAAGAGAAGACUAGAAGCCAUGCAUAAAUCACGACAUGUCCCUAGAAGAGUUAACAAAGAUGCACCAUUACUCUCUAUUCUUUGCUUGUGGCUUACACCAAAAUAUGUGAGUGAUUCUCCUUUAAAUAGUGCACGGUGAAUCACAUAAAUUGAAGAAUCCAAUCUUACCAAAUCUUUAUCCUUUAUUUAUUUCUAAAGUUUUCAGCUAAGGAACUCUUCAUCAUAAUAUAGCAAUAUUAUCUCUUCAAUAUCUCUUUAUUAUCUUCCCUAAAUCAAAACAAUUACAUCUCAAUCUUCAAGAAUCACACCAUCUUCAAUCUCAGUCUCCUAGGAUUUUGCUUGCUUGAUUUUGACAGAUAAUUUCCAUGUAGAGAUGGCCAAUGGGCCGGCCAGGCAGGAAAGCCCAUGCAUGCUCGUGCUCAUGCCAUAUCAUGCCUACCAUGUGCUUUGUGUCGUGUCGUGCCUAAUUUUUUUUUGUUAUAUACUUAUUGGGUCCAUGUGCCUUUACUCAAAUUCAAUAGAAUAAAAAGUUUAAAAUUUAAGUCCAUAUUCAAUAAUAGUAGACUAAUAAUAGUAAGAGAAUAUAAUAGCAAUUAUUAAGUUAGACCCUAUGGUAUUAGAAUUCCUUUUUAAUACUUAUUAACAACAACAACAACAAUAAAGUUUUUCUUAUGAGUUCACUUGAUUGUUAACUUUGUCCUACAUAGAGUCAUAGAUCAUAGUUCAUAAUAACAUUAAUACAUACUUAUAAAAUCAUGAUAUUUAUAAUUUUACUUAUUAAAAUCAUGAUAUCAAUUAUUCAUUUAGUAAAUUAUAAACAUAAAUCAAUUAGAGUAUUUCUUUUUGAAACUAAGAAUUAAAUGAAUUUAAAAAAUUUGUGCUAAUAAAAUAUAUUAAAAGAUUUAAUUUGAAGUUGUUUAUAAAAUCAUAAAAUUUUAAAUUUACUUUCAUUAAAAAGUGAAACGUACUUAUUGCAGACUUUUUCACAUUCUAUACUUUUAAUCCAUCUCUAAUUAUACCGUGCUUUUAAGGAUUGCAUACCUAAAAUUUAAACCUGGCCCAGCCCUCAUGCAUGUCGUGUCGUGCUGUGUACCCUACAAAAAUCUGCUCUUGUCGUGCCUUGCUAUACGGACACAUACUGUGUCCCGUAUUGUACCACGUGUCGCCUAACACGUUGGCCAUCUCAAUUUCCAUGUAGAGUAUAAUUUCUCUUAAAGUUAAAUUGAUCUCAUGGUUCCCCACGAAGUAAUACCAAGUCUUCAAUCUUCACUAUGAAUCACACUAACUACACCAUACAUGUGCUCAUGCCAAAAUAUCUCUCUACAUAUCCAUGUGGAUUCUAUUCAAAUAUAAUUUGUAAAAGGGAAAUUAUCAUUCAUAUACCAUAUAUUUGCUCUGUUAUCAAAAAUACUAUAACACUUUGAGGGUGUAUCAAUCGUCCACCCUUAGUUGACAAAAUGUAUCAGCCGACCACCAAACCGUUAGUUGUCGUUUGAAAGUUAAUGGAGUUACAGUGAAUUGAUGAUUUUACCCUUGAAAAUUAUCACAUGUAUACCCUUAAAUUCUCUUUUUAUCACUUGUAUACCCUUAAAUUAUCACUUAUAUCAUAUGAAAAGACCAAAUUACCCUUCUGACGUCAUCAUACUUAAACGGCAACUAAAGGUUUGGUGGUCAGCUGAUACAUUUUGUCAACUUAGGGUGGACGAUUGAUACACUCUCAAAGUGUUGUAGUAUUUUUGAUAAUGGAGUAAACUAAGGGUAUACAAAUGAUAAUUUCCCUUUGUAAAACUCCAAUUUGCUUGUACCAACUCUUGUAACAUUGUUGUAACACUUGACAUAAACUAUCAUCUAUGGGAAUUACAAUAUUAAUGAAGACUCAAUAAUGUGUGCAAUAAAAAUACCAAUAUCCGCACAGUGAAAUUAUGAACACAAAUAACUAAACCACUCACAAUAUAUAGAUAUAUUAAUUCAUGAUUAUCAUUUGUCAUCGCGCGCUAGAGGCCAAAUCUAGUCGUAUAAAAUAGGACUGGACAAAAAAACCGUGGCCUUGAAAAAACUAAACCGAAUCAGUGGUUCGGUUCUAAUUUGGACCGGUUUUAAUUUUUAAAAAUAACUGAAAUAUAUGGAUUGUAAAAAACUUGGAAUGCCGAUUCGGUCUUCAGUUCACUCAGCUGAACCGAAAAACUGGGUUAUUUUUGGAUUUUAUUCAAAUCGACAUGUGUUAAACUUUAAUUGGUUGCGUAAGAUAACUAAAAUAGACUUGCACACACACACAAUUACGGGUAUAUAUAUGUUACAAUUUUUGAAUUUCACCCAAAACAAACCCUAAAGCUAAAAUCAAAAUCAAAAUCAAAUCACCCACCCAAAUCCACUGCAAUUAUGGCUGACACUGUUCACCGGCGAUAGUGUCACAAUUGAAUAGCUUGUGCUCACUGUAUAAUGCCUUCUUCCACCGUGCGACACCCAUUAUCUUCUUCUCACCACAUGAAAGCCCAUAGCUUCUUUUCACCGUGAGACAGCUUCAACUCACAGGCCACUGUGUGACAGUUUCUAUUCUGCUCGCCAGCCACCGUGCGACAGCUUUUGCUCUGCAUGCCAGCCACCGUGCGCAAGUAGGUAUGACUGGCCUUGCUUUUCAAUUUUUUACAAUUAGUUGGUGUGUGAGUGAGAGCAGAAGAUAUAUGCAUGCAUGCUACUUGCUUCAAUUUUUUAAGUGUUGGCUUAGUGGCUUCUUUUGAGGGAAACGUAAUGAUGUUUGGAAUUGUGUGUAUUAUUCAUCAAAUUUUUAGUAAAGAUAUAUGCAUGCAUAUGUGGCAAGAAAUGUUGGCCAGUGACUUGAAAUUAAAUUGGAUGAUUUAUAAAUAUGGCUACCGAUUGUAUGUUGGACGGUGGCUAUAUUUAGAUUUUAUUUUGACAUUAUGAUUGUUCUAAUUUUGUAGGAUGGUUGACAGCGCUGGUGAAGUACAAAAGGCUAAUAAUGAAGUGCAAGAAAUUAAUGAUGAAGUACAACAAGUCAGUAGUGAAGAAAAGUUCAGCGGGAGUAAAAAAAGAAAAAUUGAGUUGAGAUCAUUUGUGUGGAAGCAUUUUUUGAAGCUACCUGGAGGACACAGAGCUAAGUGUCAUUAUUGCGGCAAAAGUUAUGCAGCCCAUUGUAAUUCUGGAAAAAGUGGUUUGUCAACUCAUUUGGGUAGAUGUAAAAUGAGCAAAAAAUUAAAGGCUACAAAUGAUGCAAAACAACAAACAUUAGUUCGUAAAAAAGGUAAAGGUAAAGAUGAUAGUACUGCUAAGGUUAUACACGUAGGAUUUAAUAGAGAGGAUUGUAGAAUGACACUUGUGAAAAUGAUAAUCAAAGAUGAGUUGCCUUUUAGAUUUGUAGAGAUUUGUAGAGGCAGAAGGGUUUUUGGAGUUCAUGGAAACUUAUUGUUCGAAGUUUGAGGUACCAUCUCGAAGAACAAUUAUAAGGGAUAUUCUUGAAUUGUAUUAAAAUGAAAAGGGGCUGUUGAAAAGUGUUUUGACUACAAAUAAACAAAGAGUGUGUAUUACCACCGACACAUGGACUUAAAUUCAAAUGUCAAACUUUAUGGUAGUUACGGCUCACUUUAUUGAUGAAGAGUGGGUUUUGCAUAAGAGGAUUCUCACUUUUACACCUAUAUCUAAUCACAAAGGAGAUGGCAUUGGGAAGUUAAUUGAAAAUUAUUUGAUUGAUUGGGGGAUUGAGAAGUUGUUCACAAUUACAGUGGAUAAUGCAAGUGCUAAUACACUUGCAAUAUCUUAUAUGAAGAAGAAGUUGGAAAAUUGGAGUGGAAAUUCGAUGGUUUUGAAUGGUUUAUAUAUGCAUGUGAGGUGUUCGGCGCAUAUAAUCAACUUAAUUGUGCAAGAUGGGUUGUCACAAGUGAGUCAAUCACUAGCCAGUAUCCGAAAUGCAGUGAAAUAUGUUAGAUGCUCCCCGAUAAGAUUACAAAAGUUCAAAACAUGUGUUGAUAUGGAGAAAAUCUCACAUGGAGGGUUUAUGGUGUUAGACGUGCUGACUUGGUGGAAUUCAACAUAUUUGAUGUUAGAAAAAAUGGUAGCAUUUGAGAAAGCAUUUGAUAGGCUAAAGGAAGAUGAUGGCCAUUAUACAAACUGGUUUGAUGAGGAUGAGAGUGAAAAAAAGGAGGUGGGGCCACCGACUAAUAAGGAUUGGGAAAAUGCAAAGAGGUUAGUCAAGUGUCUUUCAGUUUUUUAUUAUGUGACUUUAAAAUUCAGUAGCUCUUUAACAGUCACUUUCAAUAAUUACUUGAAUGAAAUGUGGAAAGUUUAUAUUCAUUUGAAGUCACUUGUUGAUUCCAAUGAUUUUUUGUUAAAUCAAAUGGGUUACAAGAUAAAGGAAAAGUUUGUCAAGUAUUGGGGUCAUUCUUUUGAAAAGGUUAACAUGUUGUUGAUUAUGGAAAAUGUGCUUGAUCCUCGCUGCAAACUUGACUUUGUUAUAUGUGUUAGCCUAAAGGGCUACACAUAAUGUAAUUUUAAUGAUAAUAAACAUAUGUAUUAAGUGAUUUAAUAGAUAUUGUAUUUCACAUUUUCACUAGUUUUUGAAGGGUAAUAUUUAUGCAAGUGAAUCAAGUGAAAUCAAGCUCAAGACACUCAACGAACAACGGCGAAAUCAAGAAUAAAGUUUAGAGCUCAACGGACAAAUUAGUGCGAUAAAUUCUUGUAAAGCCGGUAUGAUUUAAUCGAUGCAUGAUUUAGCAUUUAAGAAGCUCAAGAGAUUAAUUUAAUUAAUUACUUUUUAUAAACUAAAAGGUUUUAUUUUUAUAAGAUAAAGUACCUUGUGGUUUUGAGUAAUUUGGACUUAAAUGCAAAGUUUUGAAAUCUUUGAUUUUUAAUAAGUAGUAUUAUUGAAUUUCGGGGUUGGACCUUUUUACAAACAUUUGAAAUGUUUUGGGCCAUACUAUAAUUUAUGAAUAUUUUGGACUAAAGUGAAAGGUUUUGAGAACUUUAAAAAAUAUGGGUAUUAUGUUAAAAAUGACCUUUUUGCGAAAGAAUAAUAUCUUUGGGACCAUAUCAUAAUUUCAGAAAGUUUUGGAAAGACAAUUAUUAUUAGGAAAUUCUGAAAUUGGACCUAUUUACAAAGUUUUAUGACAUUUUAGGCCGUAAUAUAAUUAUAAAAAGUUUUGGGCCAAAAGUAUAAUUUUAGUGAACAAUAUUACUAUAGUAAAAUUCAAAAAUAACAGUAAUAUCAUUGUUCAUGAGCGGCUAGCCGGAUAAAUCAAGCGGCUAACCACUUGGGCGCGGGAGUUUGCCUAUAACGGCUAGUUUUCGGGUUUUAACUAUAAAAAUUCAGCUUCAACUUCAUUUUAAGAACUAAUACAAGAAAAAACAAGAUCAUAUAACAUAUAUUGAGCUUUCAUUUCGUAAAUCAUCAUUUGUUGAAUCAUCAUUGAGCUAUAAUUUAUUUAUCCACUCUUAAAGAGAGUUUCAUUGUUGUGAUUUUCAUUUCUCAUCAAAUUGUGAGUGUAUAAGUGUGAGAAACACUUGGGGUGAAGAGAUUGGGGAUAUAAUCUCUUAUUGUAAAGGUCCAUUGACACCUUGGAAGUCAAUUGUAAACAUUUGAAGCCUUGGGAGGCUUGGAUAGUGAAAUCCUCAAGCCGGGUUAGCUUGGAGGCGUGGACGUAGGCAGGGAUAGCCAAACCACGUAAAAAUCCUUCUGUUUGUUUUCUCUUCCCUUACUCUUUUAAUAUUGUGCUUGAUUGAAUUUAUUGUUUUUGAUUUGAUUAAGGCAAUAGAUUAAAUUGUUGUGCGAAUUGUAUUACAUAAUUUUUAAAAACUCAAUUCACCCCCCUCUUGGGUUGCAUAACUUGCAUUUCAAUAUGGUGUUUUAGUAGCUUGUAUGAUAUUAGAAAGGUUGAUGAAUUGAGAGUUAACAUUAAAGAGUUGCUGUUGAAGCUUUUUGAAAGCUAUGGUGGUGAGAGUAAUCCAAACAUAGGUGAGAGAAGUAGUGAUGUGCAUGAUAGUGCUAGUAGUAGUUAUGGGUCAUUUGAUCCUUUUACACAAUUUAGAAAGAUGAAAGAAAGUUCAAAUGAUGACAUUAUUGGAAAAAAUGAUGUUGAAAAAUACUUGUUAGUGACUUGUGAGAGUGCUAGUAAUCCCCAUUUUGAUAUUUUGACUUGGUGGAAAUUGAAUGGGCCUCGGUAUCCGAUUUUGUCUCAAAUUGCCAAAGAUGUUUUGGUAAUUCUGGUGUGUACUGUGGCUUUUGAAUUAGCAUUUAGCACAGGAGGGCGCAUUCUUGAUCCUUUUAGGAGUUCUUUAACUCAUAAAACAGUCGAGUCGUUAAUCUGUACUCAAAAUUGGCUUCGCUCAACUCUAUUAGGAGAGCAUACAAUACAACCAAGUCAGAAGGAAGCUGAAUUCUAUGAAUUAGUUGAAACAUGUAAUAUUGUAAUUUAUUAUGUUAUUUUUUGUGAUUUCACUUAUAACAUUUUGUAUAUUAGAAUUAAUGAUUUUAAUAUAAUUGUUUCAAUUUCUUGAAGAAUUUUUUAGGCCAAUGCAAUCUCAACAACAACAACAAGUAGGUGAUGAGCAAAUGACAGUUGAUUGAUGUUGCUGACGAGUAAGUUUUCUUUAUUUUUUUAAAAAACUAGUAUCUUAUUUAUAUAGACUAUUUAUUUAAUUAUUAAUUGUUUUAAAAUUUUUUUAUAGAUCCAAAUAUUGAGCUGGAAAAUGCCUAAAGUUGAGGUUGAUAUUGAUGAAGAUGGGAGAAUGUUGUUGGCGUUUGUUUCCAAAUUUUCUUUUUAUUUUGUGUUGUAAGUUGUAACUGUUGUUAUUUUUAUUUGUGUUUACAACAUUAUGUUCAUGUAGAUGGAGUAUUGGAGUUUGGUUAUGUAUUUUGAAAUCUUAAUAUUUCAUAUUUUAUGAGUACCUUAUUAGUAGUUAGUAAAAUAUUAGUGAUAAAAUGUGUUUUGAAUACUUUGUAUUUAUUGUUAAUAUUUGUAAUGAAAUUAGGAUGAACUAAUUGUUGAAAAAAUUAUUUCAUUCAUGAGGGCCAAUGGGCUAAAAAUUUAGAAAUUCAAAAUAGGCCCAGAACCGAAAAAACCGAACCAAACCGAACCGAUCCGAAAAGAUCCGUUUAUGUUUGAUUUUUUUUAGUUCAGUUCUUUUUAUAAAAUAACCGAUUUAAAUCAAUUCUGCUUAAUUUCGAUCUAAACCGAACCAUGUCCACCCCUAAUAUAAAAUCUCUAAUUCAAAAAGGUUAAAAUAGUCCAUUAGUUAAUUUUUUUUUUAAUUGACGCUCGAACCAAGAAGAAAACAUUAAAAUGCCGAAGUAAACAAUCAGUAGCUAGCGGAUAUCCCAAAGCUUAAAUUGUUGUAUUUGGUUGUUAUUAAUGUAAAAUUCCACUUUUAAAAAGUGAUUCUCUAUUUUUUUUUUUUGGGUGUUUUAGAAGUUCUAGUUUAGAAAAAAAAAAGAAGAAGAAGAAGGUAUCUUAAGAAAUUUGACAAAAGAUGACACCAACACCAGCUGAAACAAUAAUAAUAAAUAACGUUUAACCUCCUCCAAUUAUUAAAAUAUAAUAUUCAAAUAACAUUAUGAAAAAAAUAAAUUUAGUUAACUUAUACAAUCUUUGUUGUUUAACUUCCUCAAAUUAUUUUUGUUUACGUAUUGAUUUUCUCAAGUUUGUUGUUUCUCAUAUUACGAUCCACACAAGGGCAGAACUAGGCACAGUCCUGAGGAUGCACCAAUAUUAUGAAUAUUUUAUGGUUGACCCCUUUACGUUUAAAAAAUUUACGUUUUAGUCUAUUCAAUUUUUUUGUUUGUCAUUAUGGUCUUCAUUGUUGCCAUCUUAAUUUUUCUGAUGUUGUAGCUGUUGGUUAUAAAUAAUUUUGCAACUGAAAUAUUUGAAUCGCAUUUCUCAUAAAAUAUAUAGAAUUACUAUAAUUUAAAAAUUGUAUCUUUGCGUUUUUAUUGCAAUAAUUUAGGCUCUCAAGUCAUAAUUUGUCAUCACCAAUUUUAUUAGAUCACGAUCUAUUACCGACAAUCUUCUAGGUUAUGACUCAAGUUUGAUUUGCACUUGAUGUUUGAGCGCCAUUAUCACUACUAAAAACAACUAGCAAUAGAAAACUUUUUAUCUCAAAGUUAGAGAGAUUUAAAGAGAAAAAAUUUAUUUUCAUAUGUUCUAUAUGUUGUGGCUUUCUUCUUUUUCUUAUAAAAAAAAUUAUAUUUUUUUAUGGAAAUCCUAUAUCUCUUUUCUAAUUCUCUUAUCUCAAAAAUGUUUAAUUUAAUUUAAAAUAUAAGAUAAAGUCAAAAGUGAUGACACAUCAUUUGUGCUUGUUAUAAGUCCUACCUUGUAAAAUAACAUAAGACCCCUUAUAUACGAGCAUAUUAAAUGGAGUCUCCCAUCAAAUAAUAAAUUUAGUCUUUUAACCUAAAUAGCUAGCUGUUUUGCUUAUUAGUUCAGUAGUAGUGCUGCCAAUUAAGUAAGCAAACUCGGGGUCAUUUGGUCAUAUACAAUAACGGCUACAAUAAGUGGGACAUGUAAUUAAACUAACCUGAUUAGUUAAUUCCAAAUCUACUCCACUAAAAGAGUAGAACCGACCUCUAUAACUAUAUGUUAUCUAGGAUGAUAUUCUCAAAUAAUAAUUAGACUUAUGCCACAUUGAUUUAUUUAUUGAACAAUCUUUUGUACCAUAUUGUUAAUUAAAUUGAUAUCGCAACGUACUGUCUAAUCAAUUUAAUUACAUCUUAUUUCUUGACACUUAUAUUGGUUUUCUCUAAUUUUUAUUUUUAACAUAACAGUUAUGUUGAUACACUUUGGUUAAGAAUUCUAUGAUUAAGUACUAAAAACCCGUCAAGAAAUGUGUUGUACAAAUUUUAUAUUGUUAAUCUAUAAUCUUGCUACUCAUAAUUGCUUCUACCAAAAUACCGAGUAAUCUUAACUAAAAAUACAUGUUGCGUCCAUUGGUAAUUCAAAUGGAAUAACAAUCAUAAUCAUGAAAUUAUAAUGAACACAAGAUUAAGAUUGCAAUAAAAUUAAUAUCUAUGAGAUUUAAUAAGUCUAACAGUCAUUUUAAGGUUAAUUAAAUAUCAUAUAUGAUCCAGUUCAAUAGUCAAAUUACAUCAGGAAAUUU